ACCUUAAGUUGCCCUUCCGUCUUUGCCGGAAGUUAUGGUUUCUAGAAAGUAUUGAAAGAUUUUUAUUUUGGCAAAGCACAAACUAAUCUAAAAUGGUCCGAAAUUAUUAUAACCCAUGGACAAAACCCGCUAGUAGUGACUGCUUGAAUAAAACGUAUUAUCUAACUAAAUAUGGAGUUGUUGCAGGUGCCUAUGCAACUGUUUUAGAUUUGGGAAUGUAUACAAAACCUUCAACAUUACUUGUAUGUGCAACAAGAUUUGGACAUCAUGUUGGCUUAUUAGGUGGGGCAGCUGCAACGUAUGCCUCUGCCUUGUGUAUAAUUGGUAACAUACGUAAAACUGAUGAUAUGUAUAAUCACUUUUUAGCAGGAUUAGCUGCUGGUAGUAUAUUUGGUGGUAGAUACAAUUCCCAAAAAGUUGGAUGGGGCGUUGGCCUUUUUUUUGGAGCAACUGCCAUGCUUAUUAAAAUGGGUCAGAUUGAGAAAUGGAGAGUGCCUGGACUAACAAUUCCAUAUGCAAGACCCAUGGGAACAUUGAACCAGCAUAAAAUUGGUAUACUAACAGAACGACCACAUGAAGAGGGAACUCGAGGUUUAGAAUGAACAGAUUGUAGAUCACGUGGAAAUCAGUGCUGCCAACUAAGGACUAAGGAAAUGUUACAUUUGGAUUGAUAUUCUAGAAACUGAAAUUUUCUCGGAUAAAAUUAAGAUGACUCAAAUUUCAAUUAGUUGAAAUAAAACACAAUACGUAAACUUAUAAAAAACAAAGCACCAAUAUUUCGUUACUAUUUUCAACAGUAUGAGUUAUGGUGUAACAUAUAUUUUAUCUGAAAGAAUUUCAUGAACUAUAGAUUAGAGCAGCCAUGAAAAACCUAAUAAUAUGCUUGUGUGAAACCAGCAAGAGUUUUAUACAGAUUGUUCAAAAAUGACUUUAUUAGUAAAUUGUCAAACGAAUUAUUGGUUGUUUAUUUAAAGAUUUUAAAAUUUCAUGUGCUACAACUCGGGUUAGGAUAAUAAUUUUGAAAAAUCUCAUCAUGAAAAUAAGAGUUAAGUAAGAUUUUUGAAAAGGAAAAUGUAAAAAUUGUGUUUGUGUUAAAUGAAUGAAAAAAAAGUGCUAAUAUUAUUGCUGUAGACCUGUAUAUAGAAAAAAAAUUAUUAAUAAUAAAGUCUACAUCAUUGAAGAAUAUAUUAUUAUAA